GACGAACGCUGGCGGCGUGCUUAACACAUGCAAGUCGAACGGAAACGCCCUACUUUUUUGGGGUGCUCGAGUGGCGAAGGGGUGAGGAACACGUAAGUAACCGGCCCUUGACUUUGGUAUAACUUCAGGAAACUGGGGCUAAUACCGUAUCGGAGCUCCUGCUGCAUUGUGGGGGGUGGAAAGUUUCUGCGAUUGGGGAGGGACUGGCGGCUUAUCCACUUGUUGGUGGGGUGGUGCCUUACCAAGGCAUUGACAGGUACCCGGCCUGAGUGGGUGACCGACCACAUCGGGCCGCAGAUACCGCACAGACCCCUACGGGCGGAAGCAGUGGGGAACAUUCCACAAUGGUCGGACGCCUGAUGCAGCAACGCCCCGUGCGGGAUGUCGGCCUUCGGGUUGAAAACCGCUUUCGGAUAAGACGAAGCGUGACUGACGGUAAUGAGAAAAGAAGCACCGGCUAACUACGUG
rnacentral:rRNA from 1 species